UAUUCAUAUGAUUAAGAAGAUUAAUUAACAUCUGUCCUGUGGUUUUAUGGAAUAAACAGACAGUUCAAAAAAAUGAAAGCGAAUUCAAUUUCAGCAUCGCACACUGGCGCAGCUGCUCUGUAGACAAUAAAGUACUUGAAAGUCAUUUUUUCCUUGGCAUUUUGAAUAACAAGUUCUGUGAGAUAAAGCACAGUGAAGAUCUUUUGGAGAAGCAUCUGGAAUUCAUCCGUGUAAAGAGUAAGUACAGACAUGUAGAAGAUAGUGCUUCUAAAAUGAUUACUCACCUUCUUGAUUUAAUAAGGUUUUAUAGAACUCCAGAUUCAAGUUAAUGUGGCUCUGAAACAACCGGUUGUAUUUAUAACAUAAAGUAGCAACUAAUCACAAUCUCUCAUUUACUGUACCUCAAAGUACUUUACAAAGGAGGUAAAUAUCAUUAUCCUUAAUUUAUGAAUGGCACAGCUGGCAGACAGAGAAGUAUGACCAAGCACCUUCCAACUUUUUCAUCAAGCUAUUAUAAAUUUUCCAAAACUGAGAUCACACAUACCAGCCAAGAAAUUUACAUCAAACACAGUUCAAUGGGAGUAUGACAGAUAACUACAAUAUGCAAGCAUCUCAUAUUUCUAAAGUGGUUAAUAAGAUACCAUACGUGACAUAGGUUUGCUGUUCUGCAUUACUCUUGGGGUUAGUCACCAGAGAGAGACUCUGCUAUUGUGGAAAAUAGUUUCUAAUUCUUGUCCAGAGUUGGACCACAUGAAAUAGAUUUGAAGUAAGUUACAGCUGCUGAAUGCUGUGGGAGUGCAGAAAUGCUCGUGCCUAAGGAGGCUGAAAUGACCCUUCUGAAAUUUUAAGUAGCUUGUUCUGACAAUAACAAAUGUGUCAUUGGAAGUUCCUUUAAGGAGUGAUCAUCUUCCUUCUUUGUGAAUUGAAUCUCCCCAUAGAAGCUUGAGUGUUUAUUGGAACGCCACCUUACACAGUUCCUGACAUUCAGGUAAUGCGACUUUGACUGUAUAGACCAUAGUGGUAAUUUGGAGGAAGUCUGAUAGGAUUAAGGAAGUGUCUUUGCUGUCCCUAGCCCAUGAGUUAGCACUGAAACAAUGUGAUAACUGUAUUUCCUGAAACAAAUUAAUAGAGAUAUUGGAAUGAUAUCACCACUGUUUCCUACUGCAAAAACAUUAUGAUUGUUUCACGUGUUCUAAUGAAAUCUGAAUGCCAAGUACUGUUUAUCAAACAAUAUUUUAAAAUAAUAAACUAAAAAUGAAGUUUCA
rnacentral:lncRNA from 1 species